rnacentral:tRNA from 1 species
GGAUUGUGGCUCAGCGGUAGAGCACUCACCUAGCAUGUGCAAGGCGCUGGGUUCAAUCCUCAGCACCA